rnacentral:rRNA from 1 species
GACGAACGCUGGCGGCGUGCUUAACACAUGCAAGUCGAACGGAAAGGCCCUGCUUUUGUGGGGUGCUCGAGUGGCGAACGGGUGAGUAACACGUGAGUAACCUGCCCUUGACUUUGGGAUAACUUCAGGAAACUGGGGCUAAUACCGGAUAGGAGCUCCUGCUGCAUGGUGGGGGUUGGAAAGUUUCGGCGGUUGGGGAUGGACUCGCAGCUUAUCAGCUUGUUGGUGGGGUAGGGGCUUACCAAGGCUUUGACGGGUAGCCGGCCUGAGAGGUUGACCGGCCACAGUGGGACUGAGAUACGGCCCAGACUCCUACGGGAGGCAGCAGUGGGGAAUAUGGCACAAUGGGCGGAAGCCUGAUGCAGCAACGCCGCGUGCGUGAUGACGGCCUUCGGGUUGUAAACCGCUUUCGCCUGUGACGAAGCGUGAGUGACGGUAAUGGGUAAAGAAGCACCGGCUAACUACGUG